UACACAAAGAUAUCUUCUCAUAUACACCAUUAAUAGUAGAAUAGACCCAUAUCUGUGUCGUAAACCUCAUUUGUGAAAUUUUGUUCCAUAAAGCGCAAACUUCUAUUUCUCUAAGGCAUAAUGUUCAUCACACAAAUAUUGUGUUUCUUUAAUGUUUUAUCGUCAUUGAAAACUAUCCGAAUAAGAUAAUUAACGUGCACAACACAUAGUCAUGCACUUCAUAAUCAUUUCAUCGAUACUUUCAUACAAAAUGCCUCAAUUGUCUUCAAUAGUCGUAACCUAUACAGUUAGUGGGGUUCAGGAAAUUGCCUACAGCAGUAGUUUUUGGUGAUGAUAUCAAGAUAACACCGACAAUUACAUGUGUUUUGAGCGGAAACAACUUCCAAUGGCAACCCGCUCCUGACUUACGGGCAUCAAGUGCCACUGAACAUCACCACAGGUGAGGCCCAACAAGAUCUGCAAGGAAGAAAUAGACGAAGCAUUUAGUAUGAGAGAUUAGUUUACAGUUUGUAGGGAUAGAAACAGAAAACAAAAAUAAACAAAAAAAAAAAUUCGUUCGUUCAAGAUACGAGGUCCUCGAUCACCGUGAAAUGCUCACUGCUUCCUGAUUCAUGCAUGCGUCAAGUCUUACUUCAGUUACAAGACUUCUUCAUAAUGCAAAAACAAGAACAAGCUUUCAAGUCAAUCGAAAGUCACGAAAGACGUCAUGACUGCUACACGAGUAAUACAGAUUAGUUUAAAAUAUAUAAUUUAUAAAAAAAUUGAGAAAUUACAUGCGUAAUCUCCAACCUGCUCCAACUUCCGAGCAGAUUUCAAAGCUGUUUGCAAUCACAAUUAAUUCACAACAAUAAAAGGAAUGCUCUUAGACAGCUCAGCCAAACGAAAUCUUGGUCGUGUGCUACAUGAGUAAGUCACCUUCAUUAGUGGAGUAUGUAACAUGAAAGUUAGACGGAUCCUUCAAAGCAAUGCUAAUUAGCUGAAAAGCCAGAAAAGACGUAGAUUGAAAGGCUUCAGCUGGACUGGGUAAAAGCAGGAGCCAUAAAGAUAAGUUUUGCUAAAAGUCACUAAGCGGAACAAGACCAAAAGUGUUGAGUCUGCGCUCCUUCAUUGGAAUUCGCAAUCGACGUACUGAACUGAAGAAUCUUGAAGCAUACGAUCAAUGAAGUCGAUAUGGCUGAUAGUAACAUAGGAAAAAAAAAUGGUUGUCGGCUCCGCAAAGCUGCGGCAGUGGCUUAGAACAAACCUGCUGCAAGGGUGAGUACUAUAAAAUAAUUGACGAACUUACGAAAUCACAAUAUGUGAAAAGCUCAUACAGCCUGCAAGUGAAGUAAACCUCCAUCUAUUCAAUGUUUACAAAAGGUCACGAGAAGGCAGUAUGAUGCAAAGACGAAAAUCAUGUGUGGGAAUGAGGAGGAAAUUAUAGCUUUCACCGUCUCUCUUUCAUCCCACACUAGAGAGUCACCACCCUUUUCGAUACGAAACCUGCAACGGAGUAAUCCUUGUCUGUACACGUAAAUUCAUUGUAAGCGCCUUGGGCUUCAGGGGACUCCAAAAAAUCACACACUAGGAAAGAUUAAACAUCGAGGAGGAUCGAACCUCACAAUCACUUGUCAAGCACGAUCAUAAUCCUGAGAAGCUUUCGCUAAAACUGGAUGGUUAUAAACUACGUUCUUAAGUUAAAUAUCUUAGCUGUUAAUAAGACGUAUGUAGCUGAAUCACAUGCAACAGUGGUAUAAUACUUGGAAACAGAAAACCGUACAAUAUCUGAAAUCCAGAGCUAAAACAAGAAAAAACCAAAUUGUUUCACCCAAAACUCUCCAUGAAAUGUUUGGCUUACGCAAUGCGCAUGAGAUUUCGGCAUGUCACCAUACACAACUAUUCAGAUGCACAAUGUAAUUUCGAGCAGAACAUCAGAAAUUCAGCAUUCAGAAACCCGACAAUUGAAUAAAUAAACUCCACUAAUUCACACCAGAAACCAAUAGUAAAGCCACUUCACAACCUCUCUCAAAUCACAUCCUACCACUUCAUAUGCUUCAACCCGCAUGACCUAUUGACGGUCAUCAAACCACUGAAUGAAAAAUAUUUAAUAUAUAUAUAUAUAUAUAUAUAUAUAUAUCGUUGUAAACAUUGUGCGUGGGCAAUGUCAUGAAGUGCGAGUACCUACUAAAUACUCGAAAAAUGCAAGACACAGAGCUAACAACAGCUUCACAUUCUCCAUGUCCCCGCCCCUCAAGCCCCGACUCAGACCUCACAUCUGCCUUCAUUUCUACCCGUUGCACCCAUCCCCACUCUCAUGUAUGUGCUACAAAAUGAACUGCAUCUGCGACUGACCAAAGCUCCAAAAUCUGCGUGAUGAGAAGAAGCGCGGAUGUGUGAAGAUCAAUCCUCCUGGUGAAGGGCGAAGAGAAGCGAAGCGAGAGGGGGAACCUCCAUCGCCAUAGCUGGAGUUGGAGAACCAUUCACCUCCUCGCUUCUUU
rnacentral:lncRNA from 1 species